rnacentral:rRNA from 1 species
UGGGGGAUAUUGCACAAUGGGCGAAAGCCUGAUGCAGCGACGCCGCGUGGGGGAUGAAGGCCUUCGGGUUGUAAACUUCUUUUGCUCUGAACAAGGCAUGCUAAUGGGUGUGUUGAGUGUAGGGGUUGAUUAGCGCCGGCUAACUACGUGCCAGCAGCCGCGGUAAUACGUAGGGCGCGAGCGUUGUCCGGAAUUAUUGGGCGUAAUGGGCUUGUAGGUGGCUGGUUGCGUCUGUCGUGAAAGCUCAUGGCUUAACUGUGGGUUUGCGGUGGGUACGGGCUGGCUUGAGUGCAGUAGGGGAGGCUGGAAUUCCUGGUGUAGCGGUGGAAUGCGCAGAUAUCAGGAGGAAUGCCGGUGGCGAAGGCGGGUCUCUGGGCUGUUACUGACACUGAGGAGCGAAAGCAUGGGGAGCGAACAGG